rnacentral:misc_RNA from 1 species
GAACGCACAUUGCGCCCCUUGGUAUUCCAUGGGUCAUGCCUGUUCGAGCGUCAUUUGUACCUUCAAGCUCUGCUUGGUGUUGGGUGUUUGUCCCGCUUUUUGCGUGGACUCGCCUCAAAGCAAUUGGCAGCCGGCGUACUAGCCUGGGAGCGCAGCACAUUUUGCGCAUCUCGACUGGAGCGCUUGCGUCCAUUAAGCCUACACUUUUGCUCUUGACCUCGGAUCAGGUAGGGAUACCCGCUGAACUUAAG